ensembl:ncRNA R10E11.13 ncRNA
ACCGAUCAUUGUAGAUGGCUUCCUGCCCUUCCAACCAAUUGUUUCUGGACCAUCUACACCCAAAAUUGUCUGUAUAGAGUU